CGCUGCCUUAUUCACCCACCCUUUGUCUACGUGUACCUCUAUAGCUUCCUCGGCGGGCUCGCCCGCCGCCAGGAACCCACGAAACCCCUUGCAUUAUACACGAAAACUUCUGGUAACAAACCUAAAUUAUUACAACUUUCAACAAUGGAUCUCUUGGUUCUGGCAUCGAUGAAGAACGCAGCGAAAUGCGAUAAGUAGUGUGAAUUGCAGAAUUCAGUGAAUCAUCGAAUCUUUGAACGCACAUUGCGGCCAUAGGUAUUCCUUUGGCCAUGCCUGUUCGAGCGUCAUUUACACCCUCAAGCCUAGCUUGGUGUUGGGCGUCUGUCCCGCCGAUUUCGCGCGCGGACUCGCCUCAAAGUCAUUGGCGGCGGUCGUGCCGGCUCCUCGCGCAGCACAUUUGCGCUUCUCGGAGGCCCGGCGGAUCCGCGCUCCAGCAAAGACCUUUCAUGACUUGACCUCGGAUCAGGUAGGGAUACCCGCUGAACUUAAGCAUAU
rnacentral:rRNA from 1 species